CAUAGAUUAAAAUUUUCCUCUCUAAAUGGAACUUUGGUGAAAAUCCAAGACGGUCCCGCCACUGUAAUAAGCAUAAUGCUUUAAGUCAGGUCUUUUUAGAAAGUUAAAAAUUGGUACUUACUGUUUCGUGGUAGAACAGUGGGAGUUAG
rnacentral:sRNA from 2 species